UACGUAGGGUGCAGGCGUUAAUCGGAAUUACUGGGCGUAAAGCGUGCGCAGGCGGUUUCUUAAGUCAGAUGUGAAAGCCCCGGGCUUAACCUGGGAACUGCGUUUGAAACUGGGAGACUUGAGUGUGGCAGAGGGGGGUGGAAUUCCACGUGUAGCAGUGAAAUGCGUAGAUAUUGGGAAGAACACCGGUGGCGAAGGCGGCUCACUGGCCCGUAACUGACGCUCAUGCACGACAGCGUGGGGAUCAAACAGG
rnacentral:rRNA from 1 species